UUGUCCUUAAUUUUGUUGGACGUCUAAAUGGUUUAGAACGUGAUUCCCACCCCUUUCACCAUCCCCUUUAUUUCAUUCUUUUACAUAGGAGAGAUAACAGCACAACAGUACAUGGAGAUGAAAAAAAAGAGAGGGUGAAUUGGAGGAGAAAAGCUUAUGAGGAGAGGGUGAGGAUGUUCAAAAUCAAACUAAUCGAUGUAAGGGGGGUGACGGAGGGGCAGGGCAGAAGAAAAAGGACCCGUAAAGGAGAAGAGAGAGUUGCAGAAAGAGGAGAGAGGAUCGCCACAAAACAGACAGUUGAUGAAGAAGAAAAGGAAGGUGAAUCGGACAUUAUCUUCUCCCUCAGCAACUUCUAGAAAUCAUUGAGCAAUCAUAGCCGAUGUUUCUUCUUCUGCUUCAUUCCUUAACACCCCUAACAUUUGCUUCUUUUGUUCGGGCAAGACUUUUUCCCUAGGAUUGGCUUGGCAUUUUUAAUGUUGAUUCACUCCUACUACUGCAAUUGAUUCACUGCCAUUGUUG
rnacentral:lncRNA from 1 species